UGGGGAAUCUUGCGCAAUGGGCGAAAGCCUGACGCAGCCAUGCCGCGUGAAUGAUGAAGGUCUUAGGAUUGUAAAAUUCUUUCACCGGGGACGAUAAUGACGGUACCCGGAGAAGAAGCCCCGGCUAACUUCGUGCCAGCAGCCGCGGUAAUACGAAGGGGGCUAGCGUUGCUCGGAAUUACUGGGCGUAAAGGGAGCGUAGGCGGACAUUUAAGUCAGGGGUGAAAUCCCGGGGCUCAACCUCGGAAUUGCCUUUGAUACUGGGUGUCUUGAGUGUGAGAGAGGUAUGUGGAACUCCGAGUGUAGAGGUGAAAUUCGUAGAUAUUCGGAAGAACACCAGUGGCGAAGGCGACAUACUGGCUCAUUACUGACGCUGAGGCUCGAAAGCGUGGGGAGCAAACAGGAUUAGAUACCCUGGUAGUCCACGCCGUAAAACGAUGAUUGCUAGUUGUCGGGAUGCAUGCAUUUCGGUGACGCAGCUAACGCAUUAAGCAAAUCCGCCCUGGGGGAGUCGGUCCAAGAUUAAAACUCAAAUGAAUUACGGGGUCAUAGCUGUUUCCGUG
rnacentral:rRNA from 1 species